CCUUAAAAUGCUGCCAUUUGCGUGUUGGUGUCCUCAAGUGGAGCACAGCCGCACCUAAAAUUUGUCUCCAGUGAAGUACAUCUAGGUGGAUCUCUCAAAAUUGUCAUUAAAUAAUGCCCCGCAGCUUCUGAAAAUGACAAUUACAUCUACAGUGUGCCUGAUUCUUGAUCCUCCAUAAACAGCCUUUGGAAGAAGAUUCCCAAAGAAAGUGACUUCUCAGAAGCUGUUUGGAAAUAAGGAGCUCAGCAGAGGAGAGAGAGUGCAUAUACAUGUAUGAAGAUGAAAGAGUGGUGCAAUAGUAAGAGUUGAUAGUUGUUCCUGCCAAAGUUUGCAAUGAACUCUCGGUCAAGAGUAGUACUUCAUCCUCAAGAUCCCUGACCAUGCUGACACUGUUUGGAAACCUCCAGCUCCUUUGACUCCAGUGACUUUCUGGUUGUCCACCCUCCUGAUCAUUCUCCAUGGUGCAUCUUCAGAAGUUCUUCCAAAUCUUCUCUCCAGUGGACAACAUCCCUUUAUAUCCUUUAUGUUCUGGCUUGCAGGAAGCAAUCAAAUUCUGGUGAUAAAGCCUACGUGCUGGAAGGUGAUUUUUGGAGACUGCUUAAAAGGAUGGCAGUUAAAGAACAAUACAUACAGUGAAAGAUUGCAUCUUUCAUGUUUGUAAGUGACAUUUUACACAUACAUAUGGAACUAACAGUGUGUCCUGACCUAUUACAGGUAAGUAAAUGCAGUGACAUUAGAAAAGCACUUUAAAAUUUACAUUGUGCAUUAGUGGAAAAGAGGGCCAAACUGAGUAACACAGAACCAUAGUAAAAUAACAGUUGCCUAAUGGAUCGAGAAACUCUGCUGUUCAGAUUCAGGUGUUUUAUUAAGCAACUGCUUCCUCUCAUAAUAUAGCAGCAGGUAUGUCUUGGAUAGCUGGAAUUGUGAUUGCAUAGAGCAGAGCCUGCUGAAGGACUCUACAUCUGGCUUUAGUUCCACCAACAAGCAAAUUGGUGGCCCUGGGUAGGUUCUUCCUGUUCUCAUUGUUCUCAUUGUUACACAGAGAAAUCUGUGGUUACAUCUUUUCCUCAGCUCCCUUUCCUUUGGGAGACCUCCAUUAUUUUUCCCCUCAGUCCCUUUGUAACAACUUAUGUUGCUUAUCAUUUAUUCACCAGCUUGCUAUCACAGAGGAGUAAGAGUGAGCUCUUCUGCAAGGGAAGGUAAGAAGGCAGGAGAAGUGUCCUCACCAACAAAGGUAACAGUCCUGCAGCAUCUGAAUGAGGUUCACAGAGCAGGUCUGGUGAUCAUCAGACAAGCUAUAAGCAAGGUGGUAGGUCUGAGGUUGAGACAGAGCCAGUAAGGCACUAAAACAAGCACAGUUCAAACAAAGACCAGCAACAAGGCCUGGAGCUUAAAUGCAGUUCCUGGGCCAGUGGGGUGAUGUGGGGUGGAGGCUCCAGAUGAAGCUGAUGAGGGCAAUUAGGGUCUCUUGGUGUUCUCAAUGUCCUGAUGCAUUCCAGCAGGUAGAAAAAAUCACAAAGAUUUUGCUUUUGUAAAUGUAAGUCAGAUGUUUAGCAAUGUGAGGGGCUAGAAGAAUGUAAGUCACGAAAGAGCUGUCAGUCGGAGCUGAGAGAGCAGAAGCAGAUCUGGACCAGGAUGCCAGAAAAAUUUUGUACAAGGGGGAUUUGUUAUUUGGACUGUUCCAAGGAUGAAUGGUUUUGGAAUGCCUUGGAACAAGAAAACUGUUUUUUUGUUUUAUUUUUCUCCUUUUUUCCCCAAUCACUUGCCUCCAGUUACCUAACACUGGCAUGGAUAGACAGACUUAAGUUACCUUUUUCAUUAUCUAAAUUUCUGCAGGAAGCUUUUUGCUCCACGUUUUCUUCAUCCACGUUGUUAUUAGUAUGUCUUCAACUUAAUUCUGAAGUACUUGCAUUUGGACACUGAUCUUUGAAAACAAUGAGGACAUUGACUGUUAUUUAGCUCAGCACACUAAUCUGGGAGUAUUUUAGCUUCCAGUACAGUAAAUAUUUAUUGGGCAGUAAAUGCAAUUCCUAAAUAAAUGGAUAUUUGCUAAGAGGAGGAUGGAGAAAGAAAGAGGAGCCAAUCUGAGCAGAGAUAGGAAUUUCAGUUAGUUAUUUAAAUGUUUGCGUGAUGUGGGAAAACAGCUUUUUCACCUAAUGGCUUUUAUGUUUACAAAUAUCUUUGCAUCUUCUUUAAAGGGACUGUCUCACAAAGAAUGAAGGCUUAAAACUCUUCUAUAUCAAAAAUUUGUGAUUUCACCAGUCACUGGCAGGUACAAAUACAUCUCCAUAUAAUACUGUGUUCAAGUUAGUAGACUAGAAGUUUAAGAAGCUGGUUACUGAUUUUCCCUAAACAAAAGGCAGAGGUCAUUAUAAAGCUACCCUUUGAAGAAAAGUCACUUAAGCUUAUUUGAACCCAGAACAGACACAGCCAUUCUCAGGCUAACUUGUUUUCCAUUUUUAUUAAAACAUGUGCCUGGCAGCAGUACUGUCAUAUGAAUCAUGGUUAAAGAAUCCAGUGGAAAUAAGAUAUCUCUUGAAGCCUUUUCUGCCUGUAACACUUACACUGGAAUAUAAAUGACAGAGUGAAACUUUUUUCCUUUUCUCUCUAAUGAGAUGAAGUGAGUGUUUAAGUGUUGAUUAAUGAACUUUUUCUAUCUCCUGUAAAUACAAAUUAAUAAAGUUUUUGGUCUCUCUAGGAAUACGGACUUCUGUAUGCUCUUCCAUUUCCCUUUCAAAGGCAAGCAAGUAUCUUCGCCCUCCUGAGGGUAUUCUGAUGGAGGUGGAGGAGUAUUCUCCUUGAGAGCAGAGAAUUGCCAACCAGCGUUACACUGUGUGUCUUCACAAAGAGUUAACAUUGUCCCUUGGAUUUACACCCUAUUUAAAGCUUCAGAAGAGCAAAAGAAAAGUCCCAGAAAGUACAGAAAUGAAUCUGGGACAUUCUGAAAUGAUUGGGUCUCAGAGUCAAUGCCUGUGGGAAGAUUUUGCUCUGGGACUCCAAGCUGUGCAUCCCAUGGCACUGCUGCUACCACCACUAACUUGCACACCCUGUAUAUUGCUACUGGAAAAGGGAGAUUAUUUGAGGCACCAGUGGCAUAACAGAGCCAUAGGAAUUCAUCGUGCCAGAAGUGGUGCAGAGGGUCAGCCAAAGUGAUAGGGAACAGUUCAUUCUCACAAGAGGCUUGAGGCAUUUUCUCUCAUUUUUUCUCUCUUGAGAAUGAUUGAGAGAUUAGUGUUUGGUAGCCUUGUCAUGUGCUCUCUGCAACUGCUUUGCCUAAAGGACACAUCAAUGAGAAACUUGUGGGAACUUCGUUUUCUAUGUUUUAUUACAGGAAGCUACACAACUAAAGUCAGUCUCCCCUUGCCCAGAGAAAGAUCAAAUGUUCUGCAACAAGAGGCCAGUUUCUGCUUAUCUCUUAUGAGUGUGGUGUGAUGAAGUGGUCAAUGCUAACCUGCUGUUUACAGCAAAUGGGAUCUAGCUCCUGUGAUUCAGUUCUCUGGCUCGUGGUGGGCAUCUAGCAUGCAUAACCCUUUUCUAUAGAGCUGCCAAAGAGGGAACUCACAGGAGCUGAAAUCACUUAGGUAACAGUGUUUGGUACAAUAACGUCUAAUCCUCCUGCAGUAAACAUUGUGCAAUUCUAUAGGUUGAGACAAAACCUUUCUUUCUGUGGCAACAUUUGAGGUAAUAAUCUUCAAAGUAAUGCUAAGCAGCUGUUGUGAAAAAGGUUUUGAUUUUCUUGGUGUUAUCAUUCUGAUGUAAAAUUUGGAAGUUUGAAAUAUUAGCAACUUCUGCCUGUUGGACUGAGAAUGCCUUAUGACAGGCUCUUAAGUUGGGUUUGGGGUCAUUUUGAAAAAAACAUUUAGUGGUUCUCCAGGUACAGAUUCUACUGAUAUACAUGCCAGCAGGCCCUCUGAAAUUAGGGCUUCGUGGUUAAGUCACCUGUUUGUAAAAAUACUGCUGUUGAAUUGUUUUUAUGCAUUUACAAACAAUACAAAGACAAGCAUUUCUAGCAUUUGAGAAGUAAAAUGCUAGUAACAAAUGCUGUAAUGUAAAGUGUACUUUGGACUUUCUAAUAAGUGCUUUAAUAUCAGUAAUAAACUAGUUAGAUAUGUUUGGAAUAACUUGUGGUAUAUAUAUUUUGAAAUCAAUAGAGGAUGCCUUAUCAUGCUGCAUAAACAGUACUGGUAUCAGUUACCUGACCAGUUUUGAUAUCGGAACUGGAAUGUUGUAGGGUUUCUGUAAGCUCAGUCUUGUAGUAGGGAAAAGUGGGUGUGAUAUGUAAAAUAGAAAAAUAUUAACUUUUUUGCUGGAAUUUUCUUACUUUCUUUGCAGCGUGUAGCUUUUUAAUUGUAAAUGUAACUGUUAUUGUCUUCCUGAGACAGUAUUAGCUAGGGGUUUUCUCCUUGUCUCAAAGUGCAUCAUAUUAAACGUGUGAAAGUUUAAGCUCAGAUAAUAUUUCUGCUAUGUAAUGCCUGAUGGUAUUUAUUAGCUGUGUAAUAAUAGUGUUCUUUCCUCUCCACC